rnacentral:lncRNA from 10 species
GAGGAGUCGGAGGCCCGGGCUCUGCCACUACACACUGUGGUCCCCGGGGCCUAGGCUGGGCUGGGCACCAGGGGCUGCAGGAUUUUCUCUGGGGAUGUUCUCACACUGGCCUUGGCCCCUAGAGGAGGGAGGAGAGAAUGGAUCCCUCUCAUACAUCAAUUCAAGGACAACCGAUUUUUCUCUAAGAGGAAGACACCCACACGAAAACCGGAAGGCAGCCUUGAGUGUCGUGUGAUAAGUUUAUCGGCGCCAUCUCGCCAGCCACCCCCUCCCCAGGGUCUCGAUCAAUGGGACACAGUGCGCCUCCAGUCUGAGAGGCUUCCUUGGGUGGGUGGUGGGACUGCAAGGUGGCCCUUUGGCAGAGUCUACAAGAGCUAAAUUAGGUCGCCAAGUGGCCCAUUACCCACAUAAUCUAGCCCUACCUUCCAGAACAACUGAGAAAUGCCUCAGUGGGCAGAGCCUCAAGUCCACCAGAUAACAGGCCCCAACUUGACCUCUUGUCAUCAGAAAUCACUGCCAAGUUUCCAAGCCAGGGAAAGAGCAACAGUCGUGAGGCCUGUUCCACGCACCCACCUAUGAUCCUCUCGCUGGAGGCAGAGGUAAUAUCCUCUCCCUGGCAGAUCGAUGAUCAAUUACAGUGGGACCUUCAAUCCAGAUGGGGCUGGAGGAUCCUUUCUCAUGGUGAUUGCUACACUGAUCACAGAGGCCACCAGACCAAGAGGACACAGAGCUGCCCAUCCAGACAAGAUAAAACAGAAGCUGCCACUGCUCCCACGAGAGCCGCCUCCCACCGGAGCCUCUCCCCUUCCUCAGUGCACUCUUCACUGAGGAUUUAUUUGCUGGUGCUGUGGGGAGCCCAGGUCAGAUGCCCUGGCAGGACAGACUAAAUUCCUUCUAAAUUGAGGAAAGUGCCUCCUGUUGUGGAAGAAAAGGAAUAAGACCUUGGCUGGGCCCAGUGGCUCACGUCUGUAAUCCCAGCACUUUGGGAGGCUGAGGCGGGCUGGUCACUUGAGGCCAGGAGUUCGAGACCAGCCUGGCCAACAUGAUGAAACCCUGUCUCUACCAGAAAUAUAAAAAUUAGCCCAGCG